AUGAGAAAAUUACUUGUCACAGCCCUCCUGCUGCUGCCUCUGAUCAACCACGGAAUCUACUUGGCCACGGCAUGGGAUGAUCAAGAUUUCUUCAAAUACUGCCCACCUUCCCAGUGCAGCCAACAUGGCCCAGAGAUCAGGUAUCCUCUCUGCCUUGAAUCCAGCAAUACAUCAUCAUCGUCGUCAUGUGGGUGUGUCGGCAGAUCAAUCAGGAAGUUUGCAUGCUUUGGUCAAGACACCAUCCUAGUCCACCCAGUUCUUGGCCCAUACAGUGUCAGCGCCAUAGAUUACAGGCGCUCUUCCAUGAAGAUCACCCCGCUUGUAGACCCCUGUUUGGUGCUCCAGCAGAAGCUCAUCAUCUCCGGAAGCUCAUCAUCUCCACAGGUUGAUGUUAUCAAUGAUGAGGGUUCAUCUGCAACCCUACUACACUGUUCAAGAGAGUUCACACCUGGUCCAGCCGAAAGCAUUGCUGGCCCAGUAUCCUGCCUUAGCAACACAACCCACUUCUUUUAUUUGGUGUCUGGUUAUAAAGCCAUGUCCAGUCUUCCAUUGGACUGCAAGGUUUUCCCAAUCUCAGAUGGCGUCAGUGGCCGGCUGAUACCAAUGUAUAUGUUUGAGGACCCAAUGUCAUACACGCCCUUCUCACUGUCCUUCAAGGAACGCAUAGAAAGAAUGCUCAGUUUUGCUGAGACGACAGUGUAUUGGUUUGGUGGCAAUUGCAGGCAAUGUGAACUCAGUGGGCAACGCUGCGCGUUCAGCUCAGAAAGGAAGGAACAAUUCUGCAUACCUGACCCUCAUGGUUCACGUAUCAAAGUCAUUGCAGCUACAUCAUCGGUGGCCGCAUUUGUCGUUCUUUUGGUGACGGUGGCCACUGUGCUUUAUCUUUCACUCAAGACAAGAUAUAAUGCAGAGAUACAUUUGAAGGUUGAAAUGUUCCUCAAGACAUAUGGAACAUCAAAACCCACGAGGUACACUUUCUCCGAAGUUAAGAAGAUGGCAAGACGGUUUAAGGAAAAAGUAGGGCAGGGAGGAUUUGGAAGUGUAUACAAAGGCGAGUUACAAAAUGGAGUGCCCGUGGCAGUCAAGAUGCUAGAGAACUCUACUGGAGAGGGAGAGGUGUUCAUCAAUGAAGUUGCAACCAUCGGACUAAUCCACCAUGCCAAUAUUGUCCGUCUCCUAGGAUUUUGUUCCGAAGGAAUGAGACGGGCUCUUAUUUACGAAUUCAUGCCUAAUGAGUCACUAGAGAAAUACAUAUUCUCUGAUGACUCUAAUAUUUUUCAGAAUCUUCUAGUACCAGACAAGCUGCUAGAUAUUGCUUUAGGCAUCGCCAGGGGAAUGGAGUACUUGCAUCAAGGGUGCAACCAGCGCAUCCUCCACUUUGACAUCAAGCCUCACAAUAUCCUGCUGGACUACAACUUCAAUCCAAAGAUCUCAGACUUUGGCCUUGCAAAGUUGUGUGCAAGGGACCAAAGCAUCGUGACCUUAACUGCAGCAAGAGGCACAAUGGGCUACAUUGCACCAGAGCUAUACUCUCGGAACUUUGGGGGGGUAUCGUACAAGUCAGACGUGUACAGUUUCGGCAUGCUGGUGCUAGAAAUGGUAAGUGGGAGGAGGAAUUCAGACCCAAGAAUCGGGAGCCAGGACGAUGUUUACCUCCCAGAGUGGAUCUACGAGAAAGUGAUCAAUGGGGAGGAGUUGGCGCUUACUUUGGAAACCACUGAAGAAGAUAAAGAAAAGGUGAGGAAGCUGGCUAUGGUGGCACUGUGGUGUAUCCAGUGGAACCCAAGAAACCGGCCGUCGAUGACAAAGGUCGUUAACAUGCUAACAGGGAGGCUUCAGAGUCUGCAGAUGCCCCCGAAGCCUUUCGUCUCAUAUAAAAAUGAACCUAUGCCAUAA
rnacentral:rRNA from 1 species